GCUUAAUUAUUAUAUAAAGUAUAAUAGACUUCCAAUCUGCAAGACCAAAUUUUCGGAUUAAGCA
rnacentral:tRNA from 1 species